ensembl:lncRNA
GUUCACAAGUUUUUAAACAGAAACCGGGAUGGCCUUGACCCUGCCGUGGUGGAAAUGCUCGCCCAGAGCCGGCUCCAGCUGGUGGGCAGCCUGUUCCAGGAAGCAGAGCCUGAGUCCAGGGGAGGUCGAGGCAAACCCACACUGGCCUCUCGCUUCCAGCGUUCCCUGGGGGACCUCAUAGCCCAGCUUGGCAGGUGAGAAUAGUGCCCCCCCGACCCCUGACCCCAGGGAGAUUGAGUGGGGGGCCAGUCUGUGCUCAGUGACCUUCCUCCACCCCCCAGGAGCCAUGUCUAUGCCAUCCAGUGUCUCAGCCCCAACCCGGGGAAGCUUCCGGGCCUCUUUGAUGUGGGGCACGUGGCAGAGCAGCUGCGCCAGGCGGGCAUCCUGGAGGCUGUGUGUACCCGCAGCGCCAAUUUCCCCAUCCGUGUGCCCUUCCGGCUCUUCCUGGCCAGGUAGGGCCCCAGGAUGGGGGCAGGCAAGCAUGCGGGUGCUUCAGGGCCAGGACUCCCUAGGAAGGCCGACUGGGGGACUGGGGCUCCUUCAGGCUGGAGCCGGACCCACCUCCCCAGGGACCUGGGCCUGACGUCCAACCAUCCCUCCCUCCCUCCCUUCUCUCUCCUUCCAUCCCUGCUUCCUUUCGUCUUCAUCACCCCUGUACCCCUCCACGCAUUCACCCGCCCCUCCUCCUUUGAGCGAAACUCUCCUGGGUGCCCAGCACAUAGUAGGUGCUUUCCAAAGCAUUGUUGAAUGACUUACUGACUGAAUAGAGCCCAAGGGGCUCGGGUAUCAAAUGAGUGUGGAGAACGGUCCCUGCUUUGCUUGUUCCGACCUCAGUUCUCUGACCUUGGGGCAGGUUCCGGGCCCUGAGGACAGAGGGGCAGGGAGAGCUCUCUGACAGGGAGCAAUGUGGCGCUAUCCUAAGCCAGGUGCUCGGGGCUAAAUCCGACCUCUGUCACCUGGGAGCCACCCAGGUGCGUGAUGCCUACCUGCAGGGUGGUGGGCAUGGCUGGAAAGGGGGAGGAGCAUUCUGGCACUUACUCAGCAUUUGGUGGUCCCUCUGGGUGGCGGGGAGAUUUGGGGUGGGGCUGGCUGUCCUGGGCACCCCAAUAGAAUCGAAGGAAGGAGGCUGAAGCAUUGGGAGAAAGAUGGGGGGCCCUGGCCACUUGGUACCCAGCCUGGCUUGCCUCCAGCCCAAACCUGUGCCCCCAGGUUCUGCUGCGAGAGCCAGGCUGGCAGCAGCUGGAGCAGCACCGGGCCGAGCAGCGCACCCAGGCCCUGCUCACCCUGCACCGAGGCCUCCGUGUCUGCAUCUCCUGCCAGCGCCUCCGUCUCUUGCCACGGAUGCAGGCUCGCGUGCGUGGGCUCCAAACCAGGUCUGCAGGGUGGGGUGAGGCUGUAAGCCUCCUCCAA